AUUUUAGUGGCGGAAGGGUUAGUAAUGCAUGGGUAGCUUACCUGUAUCACAGGGAUAACGGUUGGAAACGACCGCUAAUACCUGAUAUGGCGCUUAAGGGUGACCUUAAUCGUUAAAGUGGGGGACCGAGCAAUCGGCCUUGCGGUUAGAGAAAGGCUCAUGUGAUAUCAGCUUGUUGGUGUGGUAAUGGCGCACCAAGGCUAAGACGUCUAGGCGGACUGAGAGGUUGACCGCCAACAUUGGAACUGAGACACUGUCCAAACUCCUACGGGAGGCUGCAGUCGAGAAUCUUUCGCAAUGGGCGCAAGCCUGACGAAGCGACUCUGAGUGAGCGAUGAAGGCCCUUGGGUUGUAAAGCUCUUUCGGUUGGGAACAAGAGAGACGGAUGAAUAAGUCGUCGAUUUGAGCAUACCAGCUAAAGAAGCACCGGCUAACUCCGUGCCAGCAGCUGCGGUAAUACGGAGGGUGCAAGCAUUAACCGGAUUUAUUGGGCGUAAAGGGCGCGUAGGCGGAAUUAUAAGUCAGAUGUGAAAUUCUGGUACUCAAUACCAGGACUGCAUUUGAAACUAUGAAUCUAGAGGGUAGGCGGAGAAAACGGAAUUCCACGUGUAGCGGUGAAAUGCGUAGAUAUGUGGAAGAACACCUGUGGCGAAAGCGGUUUUCUAGCUUACUUACUGACGCUGAGGCGCGAGAGCAAGGGGAGCAAACAGGAUUAGAUACCCUGGUAGUCCUUGCCGUAAACGAUGUAUACUUGAUGUAGUUGGGCUCAACCCCGACUGUGUCGUAGCUAACGCGAUAAGUAUACCGCCUGGGGAGUACGCCCGCAAGGGUGAAACUCAAAGAAAUUGACGGGGGCCCGCACAAGUAGUGGAGCAUGUGGUUUAAUUCGAUCCACGCGAAGAACCUUACCCAGGCUUGGCAUGUAGUGGACAGUCGUGGAAACACGAUCUUCCGCAAGGACCGCUACACAGGUGCUGCAUGGCUGUCGUCAGCUCGUGCCGUGAGGUGUUGGGUUAAGUCCCGCAACGAGCGCAACCCUUGUCAUUAGUUGCCAACACGUAAUGGUGGGAACUCUAGUGAGACUGCCGAGGUUAACUCGGAGGAAGGUGGGGAUGACGUCAAGUCCGCAUGGCCCUUAUGUCUGGGGCUACACACGUGCUACAAUGGCCGGUACAGAGGGUGGCAAGAUCGCAAGAUGGAGCAAAUCCCAGAAAGCCGGUCUCAGUUCGGAUUGAAGUCUGCAAUUUGACUUCAUGAAGUUGGAAUUACUAGUAAUGGCGUGUCAGCUAUAACGCCGUGAAUACGUUCUCGGGCCUUGUACACACCGCCCGUCACAUCACGGAAGUUGGUCUUACCCGAAGUCGCU
rnacentral:rRNA from 1 species